CAUAAAGGAUUUAGACACAUGAUUGUGAUGUCAAAGAUAUCAGUUACAAAGUGGUUUUCCUGCAGCUACAGUUAAGCUUAGCACAAAUUUCCACAAAGCACAGUGGCAUAUUCAGAAGAUGCUCAGAAUCUUAGAAAUUUGUUUCUAAUUCUAGAUAGUAGAAAGCCUACAUGUUCAUGUGAGGUAGAUGAUGAAAAGAUUUGAGAUUCUUGAUAUCCAGCAGCAGGAAGAAUUACAUAAGUAAGAGGCUAAGAAUACUAGAUUUAAGAAGAGGUUCCCUGCAGAAGGACUGGAGAUGAGUCAUCAACCUGGAAAGUUAUAGAAAGUCUAUAAUCCCUGUGUCCAGAAUUGUGUUUUCCUGACCAUUCUGGUUGAUACAUCAAAUGCGAGAAUACGGCCUCAGCCUUCCUAAUUACUUCUGGCUUUCUUUCAAGCCCAGUACAGAAUAGUUUGCAAGAACUAUAUGAGCCAAAGUAAUCAGUAAACUUCUGGAGGAAACAAAAGAGAAUACUGAAAUUAGAAGUUGACCUGUGGAAUGGCUGACUUCUGUCCUCUUCUCCACCCAGUUCAUGUGCCCCUGAAACUCCACGUGUCUCUUUGUCCUCCAUUCCUGUGAGAACACAUCUCCUUUGGAAUCCAUGUCUCUGAAAGAAGAAGUACAACAAUUUAGGACAUGAUUUGGGGCAUCUAUGAAUGAGCUUCAUUGACCAUGAACAUCUUAAAGGUGAGGAUGUAUUAUCUUCAUUUUCACAUUUCAGGGACUAGCAAAAUAAGUCCUUUUGGCAUGAGUUGAUUAAAGGAUGGAUAGAUGAGAUGAUUAUCUCUAACUUUAUAUGCCAUGAACAUAAUCUCCCAGCCUAAACAUCUUCAUCAUCUCAUCCUUGAGAUGUCUUACCUUUCCGUCCCCACUCAGCGUGUAGCUUCCAGGCCCUUUGAGUGCUUACUUUUCCUGGAGGAAGAUAUUGCUUCUUCUGUAUUAAAAUCAUAUCUCCUGAUAGUAGAUGCUGCCACCAUCCUGAAGCAGGGAAAAUAUGCUCCAUCCAUUUGUUUUAAAGGACAGCAUGAGGUUACAAGGCAAACUAAGCUUGUACUAUUUGUUUUCUAAUGAUCUAAUGUGCAGUGGUCUUCAAACUUUUUUUUUUUUUGGUGAGGAA
rnacentral:lncRNA from 1 species